AGGAGUGAACAAUCUCAAAGCUGUUCUCUGCUGGAAUGAGAAAAACCCACACAAUCCUCCCAUGCCCGGUAGUGCCAGCAAGAUUUGCCAUCCUCAACAGGGGAGGAAUGAGUCCCCAAGCACAUGCUAAGUGGACUGAAUUGCUUUUUGGCAAAGCUGCCUAUCCUCAGAGAGUGAUUAUCCAGAGAGCAGCACUAUUUGGUUCCUUCACAGAGGUGGCAGAUCAUACAGCAGGGAACUAAACCAGAGUGUUUUCGGGCGAUAGACUGCUGUAUUCAGGGGACUCGGGAGAUCUGGAUUCAAACCCCAGCUCAUCUCUGGAGGAUUCACUGGGUGACUGAGGGCAAGUCACAGUCUCUCUUGUCUCCUGUAAAGCAGAAAUAAUCAUGAUCCAUCUCACAGAAGGGUGAACACAGAUGAUAAAGUGCUGUGCAUAUAAAAAUGCUAGAGGAAAGAGUAAGCAUCAUCAUCAUUCUAAUACUGCUACCAAAAAAAAAUCUCAGCAGCUGGAUAGUUGUUCAACAUUAACCUUAUUCUGACAUUAUUGUAUGUGAAUUCGGAUGUCUGCACACACAUAGCUGUUUUUGUUUGGAUGAUUUAUGUACAUUCACUUUAAAAGUAAAUCUGGGUACACAUCCCACAAAUGCAUGGUAGAGAUAGGCAUACCUGCAUUCAACACAAGGUGUAAAUUGGGUUGUUUUUUAAAGACCCUUAAGACACACCUGUUUUCUCAGGCUUUUAAUUAAAUCUAAUUUUAAACUGUU